rnacentral:rRNA from 1 species
CUACGGGGCGCAGCAGUGGGGAAUAUUGGACAAUGGGGGAAACCCUGAUCCAGCAAUGCCGCGUGUGUGAAGAAGGCCUGCGGGUUGUAAAGCACUUUCGGUUGGGAGGACUGCUUCUAGCACUAAUAUUGUUGGAAGUUGACGUUACCUUCAGAAGAAGCACCGGCUAACUCCGUGCCAGCAGCCGCGGUAAUACGGAGGGUGCAAGCGUUGAUCGGAAUUACUGGGCGUAAAGCGCGCGUAGGCGGCUAGAUCAGUCGGGUGCGAAAGCCCCGGGCUUAACCUGGGAACUGCAUCCGAUACUGUCUAGCUUGAGUACAGGAGAGGAGAGUGGAAUUCCACAUGUAGCGGUGAAAUGCGUAGAUAUGUGGAGGAACACCAAUGACGAAGGCAGCUCUCUGGCCUGAUACUGACGCUGAGGUGCGAAAGCGUGGGGAGCAAACAGGAUUAGAUACCCGGGUAGUC